rnacentral:rRNA from 1 species
GACGAACGCUGGCGGCGUGCCUAAUACAUGCCAGUAGAACGCUGAAGAGAGGAGCUUGCUCUUCUUGGAUGAGUUGCGAACGGGUGAGUAACGCGUAGGUAACCUGCCUUGUAGCGGGGGAUAACUAUUGGAAACGAUAGCUAAUACCGCAUAACAAUGGAUGACACAUGUCAUUUAUUUGAAAGGGGCAAUUGUUGCACUACAAGAUGGACCUGCGUUGUAUUAGCUAGGAGGUGAGGUAAAGGCUCACCUAGGGGAGGAUACAUAGCCGACCUGAGAGGGUGGUCAGCCACACUGGGAGGGAGACACGGCCCAGACUCCUACGGGAGGCAGCAGUAGGGAAUCUUCGGCAAUGGGGGCAACACUGACCGAGAAACGCCGCGUGAGUGAAGAAGGUUUUCGGAUCGUAAAGCUCUGUUGUAAGGCAAGAAAGGGGGUGAGAGUGGAAAGUUCACACUGUGACGGUAGCUUACCAGAAAGGGACGGCUAACUACGUG